AAAAUGAAGAGAUUUUAGAUGGUACGCCAAAGAGAAAAUGAUGUCUGAAGUUCAGUAAGUUUUGCUUAUAUCGCUGUAUAAAUAUGGCGUCAAUUUUACAGUAGCCUAUCAAUGAUAAUUGUAUUUAAAUUGACAAUAUUUGACUAUUAUUUUAUGUUUCUCAACCGCCAGAUACAUUUAAAAAGAUUGCUAACUGUGUAAACUACAAAAUAAAGCUAAAACAAAGUAAUUUUGAGAGGAACGCCAAAAAGAUUUUAGGUUUUGAACACUUU